CUAGGCUACGAGGCUGGGUGUGUGCGCCCCAGGCUGGAAGCCUGGGCUACGGGGCUGGGUAUGUUCGGUCCCAGGCUGGAAGCCUAGGC
rnacentral:tRNA from 1 species